rnacentral:rRNA from 1 species
GACGAACGCUGGCGGCGUGCUUAACACAUGCAAGUCGAACGAAGUGGCGAACGGGUGAGUAACGCGUAAUCAACCUGCCCUUCAGAGGGGGACCACAGUUGGCAACGACUGCUAAUACCGCAUACUGAACGAGGGGCUUGCGUCUGAUUCGCUAGUUGGCGGGGUAACGGCCCACAAAGGCGAUGAUCAGUAGCCGGUCUGAGAGGAUGAACGGCCACAUUGUGACUGAGACACGGCCCAGACUCCUACGGGAGGCAGCAGUGGGGAAUCUUCCGAAAUGGACGAAAGUCUGACGGAGCAACGCCGCGUGAGUGAUGACGGCCUUCGGGUUGUAAAGCUCUGUUAAUCGGGACGCGGUACCGGAAUAGAAAGCCACGGCUAACUACGUGCCAGCAGCCGCGGUAAUUC